UACGUAGGGUGCAAGCGUUAAUCGGAAUUACUGGGCGUAAAGCGUGCGCAGGCGGUUGUGCAAGACAGAUGUGAAAUCCCCGGGCUUAACCCUGGGAACUGCAUUUGUGACUGCACAGCUGGAGUGCGGCAGAGGGGGAUGGAAUUCCGCGUGUAGCAGUGAAAUGCGUAGAUAUGCGGAGGAACACCGAUGGCGAAGGCAAUCCCCUGGGCCUGCACUGACGCUCAUGCACGAAAGCGUGGGGAGCAACAGG
rnacentral:rRNA from 1 species